CGGGUUCUGCAGUCGACGAUUCCUACGGGAGGCAGCAGUGAGGAAUAUUGGACAAUGGGGGCAACCCUGAUCCAGCCAUGCCGCGUGCAGGAAGACUGCCCUAUGGGUUGUAAACUGCUUUUAUACAGGAAGAAACUGUGCUACGUGUAGCGCACUGACGGUACUGUAAGAAUAAGGAUCGGCUAACUCCGUGCCAGCAGCCGCGGUAAUACGGAGGAUCCAAGCGUUAUCCGGAAUCAUUGGGUUUAAAGGGUCCGUAGGUGGUCUAUUAAGUCAGAGGUGAAAGCCUAUCGCUCAACGAUAGAACUGCCUUUGAUACUGAUAGACUUGAGUUAUUGUGAAGUAGUUAGAAUAUGUAGUGUAGCGGUGAAAUGCAUAGAUAUUACAUAGAAUACCGAUUGCGAAGGCAGAUUACUAACAAUAUACUGACACUGAGGGACGAAAGCGUGGGUAGCGAACAGGAUUAGAUACCCUGGUAGUCCACGCCGUAAACGAUGGUCACUAGCUGUUUGACUAACAUUGGUUAGUUGAGUGGCUAAGCGAAAGUGAUAAGUGACCCACCUGGGGAGUACGCUCGCAAGAGUGAAACUCAAAUGAAUUGACGG
rnacentral:rRNA from 1 species